rnacentral:lncRNA from 10 species
GUUCAUGUCCUUUGUGGGGACAUGAAUGAAGCUGGAAACCAUCAUUCUCAGCAAACUAUCGCAAGGGCAAAAAACCAAACACCGCAUGUUCUCACUCAUAGGUGGGAAUUGAACAAUGAGAACACUUGGACACAGGAAGGGGAACAUCACACACUGGGGCCUGUUGUGGGGUGGGGAUGGGGGAAGGGUGAAGGGAUAGCAUUAGGAGAUAUACCUAAUGCUAAAUGACGAGUUAAUGGGUGCAGCACACCAAUAUGGCACAUGUAUACAUAUGUAACAAACCUGCACGUUGCGCACAUGUACCCUAAAACUUAAAGUAUAAUAACAAAAAAUCUAUAAAGGGUUCUGGAUAUCAAAUAGUUUUAGAACCACUGUCCCAGACUACUGGAGCCCUAAAAACUUCAUUAAGUGGUUUCCUACUUCUCUGUCACAUAUUUCUUUUUCUUCUAAAAAAACGGGGUACAUGUGCAGAAUGUGCAGGUUUGUUACACAGGUGUACACGUGCCAUGGCGGUUUGCUGCACCUACUGACAUGUCCUCUAAGUUCCCUCCCCUCACCUCCCAACAGGCCAUGGUGUGUGUUGUUCCCCUCUCUGUGUCCAUGUGGUUUCUUUCUUUUUUUUUAUUAUUAUACUUUAAGUUCUAGGGUACAUGUGCAGAAUGUGUGGCCAUUUUCACAAUACUGAUUCUUCCUAUCCAUGAGGAUGGAAUGUUUUUCCAUUUGUUUGUGUCCUCUCUUACUUCCUGGAGCAGUGGUUUGUAGUUAUCCUUGAAGAGGUCCUUCACAUCCCUUGUUAGCUGUAUUCCUAGGUAUUUUAUUCUCUUUGUAGCAAUUGUGAAUGGGAGUUCAUUCAUGAUUUGGCUCUCUGCUUGCCUACUGUUGGUGUAAAGGAAUGCUUGUGAUUUUUGCACAUUGAUUUUGUAUCCUGAGACUUUGCUGAAGUUGCUUAUCAGUUCAAGAAGUUUUUUUUUUGUUGUUGUUGUUUGUUUUUUGAGACAGAGUCUCGUUCUGUCACCCAGUCUGGAAUGCAGUGGCGCGAUCUCAGCUCACUGCAACCUCCACCUCCAGGGUUCAAGCAAUUCCCCUGCCUCAGCCUCCCGAGUAGCUGGGAUUACAGGUGCUCACCACUGUGCCUGG